rnacentral:rRNA from 1 species
AACAAGGAUUCCCCUAGUAACUGCGAGUGAAGCGGGAAGAGCUCAAAUUUUGAAUCUGGCGGUCCUCGUGGUYGUCCGAGUUGUAAUCUAGAGAAGCGUUUUCCGCGCUGGACCGUGUACAAGUCUCCUGGAACGGAGCGUCAUAGAGGGUGAGAAUCCCGUCUCUGACACGGACUACCAGGGCUUUUGUGAUGCGCUCUCGACGAGUCGAGUUGUUUGGGAAUGCAGCUCAAAUUGGGUGGUAAAUUCCAUCUAAAGCUAAAUACAGGCGAGAGACCGAUAGCGAACAAGUACCGUGAGGGAAAGAUGAAAAGAACUUUGGAAAGAGAGUUAAACAGUACGUGAAAUUGCUGAAAGGGAAACGCUUGAAGUCAGUCGCGUUGGCCGGGGAUCAGCCUUGCAAUCUUGUUGGGUGCAUUUCCUGGUUGACGGGUCAGCAUCGAUUUUGACCGUCGGAGAAGGGUCGAGGGAAUGUGGCAUCCUUCGGGGUGUGUUAUAGCCUUUGAUCGUAUGCGACGGUUGGGAUCGAGGAACUCAGCAUGACCCCUCGUGGGUUUGGGGCUUCGGCUCACAUCCAUGCUUAGGAUGCUGGCAUAAUGGCUUUAAGCGACCCGUCUUGAAACACGGACCAAGGAGUCUAACAUGCCCGCGAGUGUUUGGGUGUUUAAAACCCGAGCGCGUAAUGAAAGUGAAAGUUGAGACCUCUGUCGUGGAGGGCAUCGACGCCCGGACCAGAACUUUUGUGACGGCCCUGCGGUAGAGCGUGUAUGUUGGGACCCGAAAGAUGGUGAACUAUGCCUGAAUAGGGUGAAGCCAGAGGAAACUCUGGUGGAGGCUCGUAGCGAUUCUGACGUGCAAAUCGAUCGUCGAAUUUGGG